rnacentral:rRNA from 1 species
GACCGUGGCGCAGACUAACACAUGCAGUCGUAACAAGAGUCAGCCGUAACUUGCUCUCGGGUGACGAGUGGCGGACGGGUGAGUAAUGUCUGGGAAACUGCCUGAUGGAGGGGGAUAACUACUGGAAACGGUAGCUAAUACCGCAUAACGUCGCAAGACCAAAGAGGGGGACCUUCGGGCCUCUUGCCAUCAGAUGUGCCCAGAUGGGAUUAGCUAGUAGGUGGGGUAACGGCUCACCUAGGCGACGAUCCCUAGCUGGUCUGAGAGGAUGACCAGCCACACUGGAACUGAGACACGGUCCAGACUCCUACGGGAGGCAGCAGUGGGGAAUAUUGCACAAUGGGCGCAAGCCUGAUGCAGCCAUGCCGCGUGUAUGAAGAAGGCCUUCGGGUUGUAAAGUACUUUCAGCGGGGAGGAAGGGAGUAAGGUUAAUAACCUUGUUCAUUGACGUUACCCGCAGAAGAAGCACCGGCUAACUCCGUGCCAGCAGCCGCGGUAAUACGGAGGGUGCAAGCGUUAAUCGGAAUUACUGGGCGUAAAGCGCACGCAGGCGGUCUGUCAAGUCGGAUGUGAAAUCCCCGGGCUCAACCUGGGAACUGCAUCCGAAACUGGCAGGCUUGAGUCUCGUAGAGGGAGGUAGAAUUCCAGGUGUAGCGGUGAAAUGCGUAGAGAUCUGGAGGAAUACCGGUGGCGAAGGCGGCCUCCUGGACGAAGACUGACGCUCAGGUGCGAAAGCGUGGGGAGCAACAGGAUAGAUACCCUGGUAGUCCACGCCGAAACGAUGUCUAUUUGGAGGUUGUGCCCUUGAGGCGUGGCUUCCGGCAGCUAACGCGUUAAAUAGACCGCCUGGGGGAGUACGUGCCGCAGGUUAAACUCAAAUGAAUUGACGGCGGGGCCGCACACGCGGGGGAGCAUGUGGUUUAAUUCGAUGCAACGAGAAGACUUACCCUGCUCUUUGACAUCCACGAAAUAAGCAGAGAUGCUUGGUGCCUUCGGGAACUGUGAGACAGGUGCUGCAUGGCUGUCGUCAGCUCGUGUUGUGAAAUGUUGGGUUAAGUCCCGCAACGAGCGCAACCCUUAUCCUUUGUUGCCAGCGGUUAGGCCGGGAACUCAAAGGAGACUGCCAGUGAUAAACUGGAGGAAGGUGGGGAUGACGUCAAGUCAUCAUGGCCCUUACGACCAGGGCUACACACGUGCUACAAUGGCGCAUACAAAGAGAAGCGACCUCGCGAGAGCAAGCGGACCUCAUAAAGUGCGUCGUAGUCCGGAUUGGAGUCUGCAACUCGACUCCAUGAAGUCGGAAUCGCUAGUAAUCGUGGAUCAGAAUGCCACGGUGAAUACGUUCCCGGGCCUUGUACACACCGCCCGUCACACCAUGGGAGUGGGUUGCAAAAGAAGUAGGUUAGUUAGACUCUUUGGCUCGAGAUGAUCCCAUCGUCGAUUCCCCACCGC